rnacentral:rRNA from 1 species
GACGAACGCUGGCGGCGUGCUUAACACAUGCAAGUCGAACGAUGAAGCCGGAGCUUGCUCUGGUGAAUUAGUGGCGAACGGGUGAGUAACACGUGAGUAACCUGCCCUUGACUCUGGGAUAACUGCGGGAAACUGUAGCUAAUACCGGAUACGACCCUCGGAGGCAUCUCCUGGGGGUGGAAAGAAUUUCGGUCAAGGAUGGACUCGCGGCCUAUCAGCUAGUUGGUGAGGUAAAGGCUCACCAAGGCGACGACGGGUAGCCGGCCUGAGAGGGUGACCGGCCACACUGGGACGGAGACACGGCCCAGACUCCUACGGGAGGCAGCAGUGGGGAAUAUUGCACAAUGGGCGCAAGCCUGAUGCAGCAACGCCGCGUGAGGGAUGACGGCCUUCGGGUUGUAAACCUCUUUUAGCAGGGAAGAAGCGAAAGUGACGGUACCUGCAGAAAAAGCACCGGCUAACUACGUGCCAGCAGCCGCCGUAAAAC